UCAAAACGGCAAUGGCUACGCGAAUAUUUUCAUUUCCUUUUAUGUCAUCGUUUUCCUACUGGUUGGCUUUAAAAAUGCGUCCAGAUUCCAGUCGAGGAUGGAAUCUAAGUGAUUCCGAAGUAGAGUUGAGGUUCAACCAAAACGCAGUCGAUUUAAUGCAUCUGUCCAAUCUCCGGCACUGGAGCAAGGUCUAUGCUUUUCACUCAACAAAAUCUCCAAAGCAGCUCUUCUUUUUGGGUUUUUUUUUCUUUUUAGUUACUGCAGAACUAAAUUAGUUAACUUUUCAAAGAAAAACCAAAACAUCUCGAUUGGAGUAAUUUUAUUGAUCGCAUACAAAUUAACCCAUAUCACUAUUUUGAGUUUUUCAAUUUCCUAAUGAACUCUUCCUAUACUGCCUUUAUCUCUCGAUUAGUGGUUUUGUGAUGGUGCUGCCAUUAUCAUAAAUUCGUUAUUAAGAGUAUUUAUUCAUUGAAUUAUUGAAAUUUUGGAAUACACACACAUAUAUGUGUGUGUGUGUGUGUGUUUGUGUAUCUAUCUAUAACCAACUAUUCACAAUUUAACAUUAAGCAUAAUCCCAGGACCCAAAUGAAUGGGAAAAAAAGCUUAAGACAUUCCAACUUUUGUAUGGGUUAUUUCGACUAUUUGGAUAGUAGAUGAUUUUAAGUCAUAGCAAAUAAUAUACCCUUCCAAUAGUCCAUUGUAAGUUUGUAACGAAACCAAGUCUUCGUUUGUGUUAUCAUUUGUAGUUUUAGAUUUAUGGGCUUGUUGGCCUUUCUUUUUAACAGUUUUCUUUUAUUCUAAUUUAUCAUUUAACCAUUACCGUAAUAAGCACUUGACUAUCAGCGAAGAUGACUAAAUAAAUCAGGUCAUUUUCUUUGUUAACAAACUUUAAGAUUUAUUUGAAUCACUGAUCACCACUACUUUUCACAUUCACAACCCUUCUGUUGCGUUUGGUUUGCAAGAAUCAAAGGGGGAAUGGAAUGGCUCAUUCCCAUGGAAUGAAGAAAAAAUGUGUUUGGUAGUUUCCAUUGGAAUGGAAUUAAACCAUUUCAAUUACUACCAAAUACCAAUUGUUGAUUUUUUAGUUAUUAGGGGGUUGUGGAAUGACUUAUUCCAUUCCAUUUCCUUCUCUUACCAUUCCUACCUUAAUUCCAUUCCUUCAAUCUAAGUUCUAAACGUAGCAUUAUAUAUCUUUGGCUUUGAUUGAACAUUACUGUGACUCUGUUUCCCAGUCUUCUUACUUGUUUCUCAUACAUUUCAUAUUCAAAUUUGCGCUUUAAACUUUUCAUAUUCAGAUGUGCUACUGGAUGACAUUCAGAUCUGAGAAUUAAAAGACACGUGAGUAAUGUUUCAGUGGUAGUGAAGCUAUUUAAAUUUUUUACUGUGGGUAUGGUUGAUAUUUUUUCGUGCAUUUGGAGUCUGUUGUCUAGCUCUUAAAUUCUCUCGGAUUCUUUGGCUUUUAUUAGUUUCUUCUCUGUUUUUAUUUUUUAUUUCUACUUGUUUGAUUAUUCUUUUCUCUAUCUCUUUUUUUUCCAUCCCGCUGAGUAAAAUGCUUAUUUUCUUUAAUAUCUCCAUGGUGAAUCUUAUUGUUGUCACUUGGUCUAGGAAUAGUGCACUUGUGUUUGCCACGCGAUGCAUAUCUUAUAGAAGGAAAAUCCUUAAAAUACCAAUAAUCAAUAAACAUAUCGGGUCUAAUCCUAACUGAUUUGGUGCUCCGGGUUGCAAGCAGAAAACCAAUUUUUUCUUGACCCUGUUUAUCUAUCAAAAAUAAAAAUUGAAAGAACUAGCCCCCAAUGCGGGGAAACCAACAUGGAACUCGUAUACUAUGAUCAGAAAAAUAGUGACCCUAUUAUUGGCCGCUUUGGACUAAUCUUGAGCAGUGAUUAUGUUGUUGGUAUCAACACACAGGCAAAUCUGCAGGAGCAUGCUCUAGAGACUCCAAUUCCCCAACUCCGUUGUCUACUAGGAAAGCCGUGGCUAAACCCCAACCGAUGUGAACAUCCAAGUGACAAUGCAUAAGCCAGACUCCUGCCAAAUGAAGGAAUGAAAUCAUUAGAUUAUCUUAAAUAUAUCAGAAAGAUCUUGAUGUAUAAAUGUAGUAUUUUAUAGUUGUCUGCUAUUCUUACCAGGAUUGUCAGCAACAAAUCUAAUAACUGUCCAUCCUUUUACAGGUAAACUAGCUGUAUUACGAAGAGGUGGAUCAACGAGGUUGAAUUUGGCCGUAUCAGUUUUAGGAUUGAAGUUUCCAAACCCCUCUGCGAUAAUGUAGAAAUCAUAUCCAUGGAGAUGAAUUGGG
rnacentral:lncRNA from 1 species